AUUGAACGCUGGCGGCAGGCCUAACACAUGCAAGUCGGGCGAGCGGCGAGCGGGUGAGUAAUGUAUGGGGAUAUGCAUGAUGGAGGGGGAUAACUACAGGAACAUGUAGCUAAUACCGCAUACCAUCAGAUGACCCCAUAUGGGAUUAGCUUGUAGUUAAGGUAACGGCUCACCUAGGCGACGAACCCUAGCGGGUCUGAGAGGAUGAUCAGCCACACUGGGACUGAGACACGGCCCAGACUCCGACGGGAGGCAGCAGUGGGGAAUAUUGCACAAUGGGCGAAAGCCUGAUGCAGCCAUGCCGCGUGUAUGAAGAAGGUCUUCGGGUUGUAAAGUACUUUCAGUCGGGAGGCGUUACCGACAGAAGAAGCACCGGCUAACUCCGUGCCAGCAGCCGCGGUAAUUC
rnacentral:rRNA from 1 species